rnacentral:rRNA from 1 species
GGAAUCUUCGGCAAUGGGGGCAACCCUGACCGAGCAACGCCGCGUGAGUGAAGAAGGUUUUCGGAUCGUAAAGCUCUGUUGUAAGUCAAGAACGGGUGUGAGAGUGGAAAGUUCACACUGUGACGGUAGCUUACCAGAAAGGGACGGCUAACUACGUGCCAGCAGCCGCGGUAAUACGUAGGUCCCGAGCGUUGUCCGGAUUUAUUGGGCGUAAAGCGAGCGCAGGCGGUUUGAUAAGUCUGAAGUUAAAGGCUGUGGCUCAACCAUAGUUCGCUUUGGAAACUGUCAAACUUGAGUGCAGAAGGGGAGAGUGGAAUUCCAUGUGUAGCGGUGAAAUGCGUAGAUAUAUGGAGGAACACCGGUGGCGAAAAGCGGCUCUCUGGUCUGUAACUGACGCUGAGGCUCGAAAGCGUGGGGAGCGAACAGGAUUAGAUACCCUGGUAGUCCACGCCGUAAACGAUGAGUGCUAGGUGUUGGAUCCUUUCCGGGAUUCAGUGCCGCAGCUAACGCAUUAAGCACUCCGCCUGGGGGAGUACGACCGCAAGGUUGAAAC